GCCAGCAGCCAUAUCACCCUGGAACUCACAACUGGCAACCCACUGAAGCUAAGCAGGUGUGAGCCUGGUCAGUACCUGGAUGGGAGACCACCUGGGAAAAACUAAGGUUGCUGCUGGAA
ensembl:rRNA 5S_rRNA 5S ribosomal RNA